GUGUGUCCACCGUUGCACCAUCCACCUCGGCACGAUCCACUCCCAACCCACCUCUCUCUCUCUCUCAUCCCUAAAAAACUCUCUCACGAACUCACCUGCUCCUCUCCCACGAUCUCCUCGCCGCCGCCACCACCCACGCCGGUUACGCGCAACACUCCCCAUGGAAGCCACCGCCACCGCCUCCCUCGCGUGGACCCUCACCUCCUCGCCGCUCCCCCGCGGCUCCCGCCGUAGCCGUGGCGCCGGAGCGGCGGAGGAGGGGUAGGGCAGUGCUCGCCGCGGCGGCCUCGACGGGCAACUACGUGGUCCGCCAGAGAAAUUGCGCAGGCGGCAACGAAGCCCUGCGCAGGGGCGGCUAAUUAAGGGGUCGCCGGGAGCCCGUGAACCGCCGCGAGGGAUGCGAGAUCCCAGCGGGAGCCGGCGGAGGAGGGCCCGCCGGACUCGCCAAGGAGACGCGGCCUACCUCCUCGAUGCGGGGAAUCACCUCGAGGUAAGAAGCAAAUAGCACAUGCAGGAGGUAAGAAGCAAACGAAUGUGUGUGCUCUUUCCUUCUUACCCUCGAGCCGACUCCCGGAACCACAUCGAGUUGGAUUUCCAAUUGCACGCACCUACCUACAAAGGUUUGUUUGUUCGCUUGGCGGAGCUAGGGGGGGACCAGCAGGGGCCCUGGCCCCCCCUAUGGCAUUGUAUAAUACGAAUGAUUUUGUACUUAAGGCUAGUUUAGACAUGAUGUUUAGACAAAAUUAGCUUUCUUGGCCCCCUCUAAGUGAGAAUCACCAUGUUCGGCCCCGUUCCUCCGCCCCUGUUUGUUCGGGUCGAUUGUAUUACGAGUUCUCCAUUGCUGUGUUCUCAGAUCUGACCCCUGCUAUGAGAAUGAACAGGGACACAAAUGAUGAUUUUGUAGAGCGUGGUAGCCGAUUAAUUGUCCCAAAAUCAAAGUAGAUAUGCCACGCCGUAUUAGACUAUUUCUAUUUUUCUGCAUUUUUUGGAGGUGUCCGGAAGAUAGAAUGUAACUGCAGAAUUCAACUACCGCAUUUUGGCGAACACCUAUUCGGUAGUUCAGAUGAACCAAGAUUAGAUCACUCACACCGGUUUUACAGGUUUUUCUUUUGUUCACUGUAUUUAAUAAAAUUGGCGACAAUGGAAGGCCUCUCGUGCAUAGAUUAUCUGAAACCAUUUCAAUGUAUGGCCGACUGUGGAAUCUUUCUCUCAUCCUAUGGUCAACUCUUGGGUUCUCACAGCCUCAUUUGCCUUACUAGCUGGAAAUGAUUAGCCUGAUGUAGUUUGUCCCCUCGGUUAUUUCACUCUGUUAAAAGAAUGUGCCUUUGUCAGGCCACUCUAGUUUAUACUGUUGUUGCUGAGGCAUACCCAAUUCUUGAUUAGCAAGCUAACUUUGUCUUAAUCAGCAUGGUCAUCAACGAAUAGAUGAGCUAUCAGUUAGUAGCGGUAAUACGAGAAAAAUAAGGAACCGACAGAAAGGAUAGGAAGUAGCUAUCUGAAUUAGAAACCUGAUACAGUAGAAGAUAAUGUGUUUUGUUCAUCGGAGGUUAGUUUAUAUCUACGUGUUUUGUUCCCCUAUCUUCAAAUGUUAUGUAGUCACUCAGUUAGCAGUUUCUUAACUGUUGUAGUAAAUAAUUAAUUUCCAUAAUUGCUUCAUUUGCUCUUCUGCAGAAGCCCAGUUAUACACUUUACGCGAUGAAAUUCACAGCAAUACAGUUCAUCAACCUAUUUAUUGUGCCAUCUUGGAAUAAUGUUCGUGGAGUAGCUUAUCUCGUCAAGGCAACUCCUUAUCUUAAAAGACUCCGGCUAGAAGUUCAGUGAGUUUGGAACCGAUGGAGGACAACAGCAAAGUCUCUGAAGCCGAAGUUCAACCUCUUUGGAACCGAUGGAGGACAACACAUUGAUAUCAAGUCUUUCAUUGCCUUUACCGUGUUUCUUAAAGCCUUUGGUGGUCUCCUUUUCAUCAUCAGCAGCUCGUUCGAAGCAUUCGUACCGGUCUCCGCCAGCAUUGGGAAUUUGGGAUGGCAGUGCCACACAUUGAUAUCAAGUCUGUCAUUGCCUUUACCAUGUUUCUUAAAGCCUUUGGUGGUCUCCUUUUCAUCAGCAACAACUCGUUCGGAGCGGUCGUACUGGGCAAUGGAUAAAAUCUACUCUGGAUAGUUGAAGAGGGAGUACAUGCUAAGUUGACUUUUUUUCCCUACGGAUUUGCUUAUCGUGAAGAUGCUUGCAAGGAUGCAAGAGGGAGCGGAUCAUUUGGAGAGAUAGGAUGCCACUGUUUGGUGUUUUUAUGUAUGUUGGUUUGCUUGUAACUGUGUUUGCACUUGCUGGAAGUAAGUGACUUGGCAAGAAGUGUAGGUGUUUUAAUUGAAGGCAUGAAAAGCCAUGACAAUAUGUAUGCUCUUACAGGAUGUGCUCUAAUGCCGUUGGUUUAUUAUAAAUCUUGGAUUAGUAAUGA